CUGCAGAAGCUGGAUUUCCAGGAGAUGGUCAUGUUCCUCCAGCACCUCCCGACCAGGAACUGGGCGCACCACGAGCUCGAGAUGGUCCUCUCCAGGGCGUACAUGUGGCACACCAUGUUCAAGAGCUCGCCCAGCCAUCUUGCCAACUAGGAGGACUAAGCGGCUGUUGAUCAUGCCUGGGAGCAGGCGGCGGAGCAGUCCAGCUUCCGUUGUAAUGUAGACUCACAUAUACCCUUCCCGGAGGAACAAUGGGGGAGUUUCAUGUUUAUUUUGAGUGCUGUAUUAUGAAUAUCUGCUCCGAUUUGUAUAUCUCGCUGUGAAACUACCGUCUCGGUGAUAAUGAAUAUAUCUCAUUGGUUUUUGAUGCAAUUACCGUAUUCUUUUCAAAUCUGAUGGCCAUUUUGGCAUUUUGUUUGAGUUAUUUAGAGUUCAUAGCCCAAACUUUCUGAAACUGUUACUUUGUCUGAACAUGCAAACGCAGGCCUAGUGUCACACCGUGCGCAAUGUGUUAUAGACAUUACAGAAUGUCCAUCCGCAACAAAGAUAUCAAGAUUUCUAUGACAGUGUUUGGCCGCCAUUAUAAUCCCUUUGCUGGACUCGAGCACUCGAGAGGUCAUUAGUUGCGUGCAUUUCGCUGAUAUUUGUUGAUGAGAAGAAAUAGUUGGGAUUCUACAAAACACGGUUCGAGAGGUUGAGCAAGCCAACCAAUUCGAUGUUUUGGUGCAACUGUGAAAGGGGUCGCAGGAACCGGACACCGGAUUUAAAGGGUAUUUGUUUCCAGUGACUUAUUGGUCUAGGGACUUAAAUAAGUCCCUAUAAGUCCCAUCUAAACCAAAUAAGAGGGACUUAUAGGGACUUAAAGUGGGCAUUUGGGACUUAUGAAAUAAGACUCCCAAGGAGGGACUUAUAGUUGUAAUAUGGUCUUAUAGAGACUUAUAAGUCCCAGGAACCAAACAGGUAGGGAUUUUUUAGGGACUUGGGACUUAUAAAUUGGGACUAAAAAAAGUCCUAGGACUUAUGAAUCAAACAGGGACUUAAUAGGUAGUACAAAUCAACUUUUUAAAUUUCAAAAACAGAGAAAAUUUCCAGACCUCAUAGAAGUACGCAAACUUUCGGAAAUUAUUUCAGAUUUUGAUGUAUCAAAAUUCAUUUACUUUUAAUGAUUUUGAUUAAAUUUAAAUAUGCUUGAAUCUGUCUCGAAGUUUUGGGAUUACAAAUAUUUUGAAUUUCUGUUAACCACCGAAAAUUUCGAAAUUUUCAUUGAAAUUUCGAACCCUCGAACCCUAGCCCACCACCUCAUGCAUGGGGCCACCAUGUUGUGACCUCAGUGACGCCCCCAGACCAAAUGGCGUGGUGGCCGUUCGCUGCCGCGCCCCGCCGCCUCCGCAGACUCGCUGCCGUCGCCUUCUUCUCCGCAGCGCCCUCCCACGGCUGCCCGCUCCACGCCGAGCUCGCGCGCCGCGGCGCCCCCGCGGCCGCCUCGCUCGCCCUCUAUUCCCGCAUCCGCGCCGCCACGCCGCCCACCCCCUACACCUUCUCCCUCCUCCUCGCCGCCCUCGCCUCGUCCGCCUCCGGCGGUUGCACCCGCCUGGCCGCGCCCGUCGCCCACGCGCACGCGCUCAAGUGCGGCGCGCUCGCGCACCCCGUCGUCACCAACUCCCUCCUCAAGCUCUACUGCGCCCUCGGCCUCCUGCCCCACGCGCGCAGGGUGUUCGACGACUCGGGCGCCGCUCUGGACGCCGCCUCCUGGAACACCAUGGUGUCCGGCUACGGCAAGAGCGGCGACCUGGCAGCGGCGCGGGAGGUGUUCGGCAGAAUGCCCGGGCGGAACCUGGUGUCCUGGAGCUCCAUGGUCGACGCGCUUGUGCGUGCGGCGGAGUUUGACGAGGCGCUGCGGGUGUUUGAUCGGAUGAUGGGGGAGGGUUUCAAGCCGGAUGUGGUGGUGCUGGUGAGCGUGCUCAAGGCAUGCGCUCAUCUUGGUGCCGUCGAGAGGGGUCGGUGGGUCCAUCGGUAUAUGGAAACAGAGGGGUUUGCAGGGACGCAGAGGAAUGUCAUGGCCGAGACCGCCCUGGUGGACAUGUACUGCAAGUGCGGGUGCAUGGAGGAGGCGUGGCGUGCUUUUGACUCUGUUCGCUGCCGUGACGUCGUGCUGUGGAAUUCGAUGAUCGGGGGGCUUGCGAUGAAUGGCCAUGGCAAGCGUGCUCUUGAAUUGUUCCAAAGGAUGCACGAAAAAGGUUUUGUGCCAAAUCAGUCAACCUUUGUUGCUGCUUUGUGCGCGUGCACCCACACAGGUCGUCUGGACGAAGGGAGGAAAAUUUUCCAGUCGAUGCGGCAGCACGGGAUCGAGCCACAGAGAGAGCACUAUGGGUGCCUAGCUGAUCUCCUUGGGCGUGCAGGACGCGUUGAGGAGGCUGAGGCUGUCUUGUUGGAUAUGCCAAUGGAGCCACAUGCGUCGCAAUGGGGUGCGCUGAUGUCGUCAUGCCGGAUGCAUAAUGAUAUUACUGUCGGCGAACGGGUUGGGAAGCGGCUCAUUGAGCUAGAGCCACAACAUGGUGGUCGUUAUGCUGUUCUCUUCAACUUGUAUGCAGUCAAUGGUCGAUGGGAAGAUGCAAGAGCCAUUCGGCAGAUGAUGGUGGACAAGGGAGCGAAGAAAGAGCUGGGUUUCAGCUUCAUGGAGUGAAAUGGUUGCUCCAUGAGUUACACCCCGGACAAGCCAGAUCUAUGCACUCUUGGUAAGAUACUAAUGUCUCGUACUGGUGUACUCCAUCUGUCCGGUGAAGAGUGUACAUCUAGAGAUUUUAGGACAAAUUAUGGAGUGAAGUAAAAAAUGCAUUGGAAAGAUGCAAGCCACCGUCUCUUCUUCUUCUUCUUCUUCUAAGCCUUUUGUCCCAAACAAGUUGGGGUAGGCUAGAUAUGAAACCCUUUCACGAGGACUUCCCAGGAGGUCACCCAUCCUAAUACUACUCUCGCCCAAAUGAGUUUCAUACCCAAAGGAUUGGCUAGUUUUUACGUUGGCUCGCCAAGCCUAUCACAACCCUUAUAUAUGAAACCUUUUCACGAGGACUUCCCAGUAGGUCACCCAUCCUAGUACUACUCUCGCUCAAAUGGGUUUCAUACCCAUGGGAUUGGCUAGUUUUUACGUUGGCUCGCCAAGCCUAUCACAACCCUCCUCCUUUACCCGGGCUUGGGACUGGCUAUGCUUAAAAGACAUAGCCGGAGUUGCAAGCCACCAUCUCUCUCCUCUUUAAUUACCCAACCCCCAAUGAGCUAAGUGCAUGUAGAAAUUAAGAAGACCAUGUGUAGAUUGUUAUUGGUCUUGAUUACCGUGUGAUGAGAGAGAAGUAUUUUUUCUACUUUAAAGUGCAUUGGAAAGAUAGAAAUACAUUCUUUUGUGGACAAAUUUUGAAGCCAAAUGUACACUCUUCACCGGACGGAAGGAUCUGCCUUGAUGUCGACAAUAGUACCUUCUCUGUCACUUGUGAGGCUAUCUAUGGCAGCUUCAUGUCCUCCUGUGGAAAGAACACAAGCUAGUCAUGGCCUCAUGGGAACCCCAUCACGUCUUUUCUGCACCUGUUAACGUUUAUUUUUCUGCUCCGGUUACCACCUGCAGUGACUGCUGGCGCUGUUCAGGUGCAACUUAUUCUUGCCUGGAGAAGAGAGUGGCAUAUGCACCUCAAUAAUGCUUGUCAGAGAAGCUACAGAAGCUGAUUUUCAAGAGAUGGUCAUGUUCCUCCAGCACCUCCCGACCAGGAACUGGGCACGCGCCACGAGCUCCGAGACGGUCCUCUCCAGGGCAUACAUGUGGCAUGCGAUGUUCAAGAGCUCGCUUGGCUAUCUCGCCAGCUAGGAGGACUAUGCGGCUGUUGAUCAUGCCUGGGAGCAGUCCAGAUUCCGUUGUACUCUAGACUCACACAUUCCCUUCAGGGAGGGAUCUUGAGGGAAUUUUAUGUUUGUUUGGAGUGCUGUAUUAUUAACAUCUGCUCCGAUUUGUAUAUCUUGCUGUGAUAAUGAAUAGAUAUGGCAUUGGCUCUCGAUUUCUUCAUAUUGCUCACAAGUUAGGAGGCAUGUUCCUGGUCGAGUUUGUGACAGCUGACAGUAUAAAUUAACUUGCUUGAUGGCAGCGCCUUAAUUUCUAUCUGCUUUUACUUUCCAUGAACAUGUAUGUACUCUACUGG
rnacentral:lncRNA from 1 species